AUCCAUAAAUCUAUCUAAUAAACGCAGCCCUUCCGAAGUCGGGCCUUGACGCAUGUAUUAGCUCUAGAAUUACUACGGUUAUCCAAAUAGUAAUCGAUCACCAAAUAAACUAUAACUGUUUUAAUGAGCCAUUCGCAGUUUCGCCGUUUAAAGCUUAUACUUAGACAUGCAUGGCUUAAUCUUUGAGACAAGCAUAUGACUACUGGCAGGAUCAACCAGGUGAUUGCAUCAAUGCAAUGCUUGCGAGCUUCCGAUUAAAUCCAAGGAUAUAAUCAAAAGUCGUAGCGUGCUCUGAUGGUCACUAAAUAUCGCACGAAGCGAUACCCUUGCGAUCUCAUAUCCAUCAAAGAUGAAUAGUCGAAAGCUACCAUCAGUACGGCGAAGUUCCUAUCAUUGAGACGCAGAAGUCUCAAAGUGUCGGAUUGUUCACCCGCCAAUAGGGAACGUGAGCUGGGUUUAGACCGUCGUGAGACAGGUUAGUUUUACCCUACUGACAAAGUAGAUACUGCGACAGUAGUCGAAGUUAGUACGAGAGGAACACUUCGUCCAGAUACUUGGUUAAUGCCGUUGUCUGAAAAGACAGUACGGCGAAGCUACCAUCUGCUGGAUUACGGCUGAACGCCUCUAAGCCGGAAUCCAUGCUGGAUAAGCAGUGUUGUACACCGUGCUCAAUGCUACAAGAAAAAGGCUAGGUCAAAAUUCAUUGCUGCUUAUAUGGGCAAGCUCCGGGUGCAAGGUCCGAGGUUUAGACCGUCAAAGGUGCUAUUCCAGACACCCUUCCAUCGAUUACUAUUUGGAUAACCGUAGUAAUUCUAGAGCUAAUACAUGCGUCAAGGCCCGACUUCGGAAGGGCUGCGUUUAUUAGAUAGAUUUAUGGAUGGAACCUAGUGCGAAUAAAUCUAUCCCUCGGAUUUUC
rnacentral:ncRNA from 1 species